UACGUAGGGGGCAAGCGUUGUCCGGAAUCAUUGGGCGUAAAGAGCGUGUAGGCGGCUCGGUAAGUCCGCUGUAAAAGUCAAAGGCUCAACCUUUGAAUGUCAGUGGAUACUGCCGGGCUAGAGUCCGGAAGAGGCGAGUGGAACUCCUGGUGUAGCGGUGGAAUGCGCAGAUAUCAGGAAGAACACCAACGGCGAAGGCAGCUCGCUGGGACGGUACUGACGCUGAGGCGCGAAAGCGUGGGGAGCAAACAGG
rnacentral:rRNA from 1 species